CUGUCAAAAUUUGAUUGAAGUACUGCAGGUGAUAGAAUUACCAUCAGCAUGGAAUUAUUGAAACAAAUCAUGUCCGAGAAUUCAAUUCACUUUACAAUAGAAUUCUUAUGUUUCGAAUAAUUUUUCAAGUGAUAGAUUCAUUUAAAUUCUUGCUUGAAAUAAAUCAACAAUAAAUGAAAGUAUCCUAUUUCCUUUAUUAUCCCUAUCUUGAAUGAGCUAGUAAGAUGGGCCAAGGUACUUUUGUGCCACAUGAAUUGACUUACUAAGGAAUCCCACUUGGCACUUGUGGCUUGAUUUCUGUUUAUUUCAAAAUACCAUUUUUUUUUUAAAUCUUCCCGUGCUAGUGUACUUUUCAAACAUGAUAACUGCCCAAAUAAAAUACAAUUGAAUUGAAUUCCACUAUUCAUAAGGUUCCCAAAAACAGUGCAAUAUGGUGACAGAAAAUGAGUUUACUCAAUCCUCAAAUGGGAGACAAAUCCUCCAAAGAGGAAAGGAAUCUAUAAAACUAUGACAACAUUCAGUCUUUUC
rnacentral:misc_RNA from 1 species